UUUUGACGACUUCGAUGAUGAUGAUGAUGAUGAUGAUGAUGAUGCUACUUGUAUUGAUGCUAUCAUCCUCAUCAUCGUCAUCGUCAUCAUCAAUUUUU
rnacentral:pre_miRNA from 1 species